UAGCCCAUAGGAAAAAACAGAUCUACUCAAACAUCAUAGGAUAACCAUAGAUCAUUGGGAAACAAUAUAUGGAGUUGAGCACCAUGUUUAAGUAGAGAUUACAGCGGGGAGAAGAGGUAUUACACCACUACAUAAAGGGGGAGAAAGUUGGUGUUGACGGUAGCAAGAUUGUUGAUGUAGAUCGUCGUCCUGAUUGUUGCCCCAGCGGCACUCCGGCGCCACCGGAAGCAAGGGGGAGAGCCCCCUCCUUCUUUUUCUUCCUUGGCCUCCCUGUAAAUGGUAGGAGAGUUACCCCCUCUAGUCCAUGGCCUCCAUGGUAGCGGAGGGGUAGGACCCCCUCCGAGAUUGGAUCUCCCUCUCUGUUCUCUUCUUUUUCGCGUUCUCCAGAUCUGGCCGAAAAGCAUUUCUUAUAUUCCUGGAGAUCCGUAACUCCGAUUGCGCUGAGAUUUUAACAUGAGUUUUUUUCCAGAUAUAAGUUUCCUUCCGCCCGAAGUAGAGCCCCAACCGACAUACGAUGUGAGCACAACCCACCACCACACGCCUAGCUCAGGGGUCGCACCCUGGUGUCUUGUGGUGUGUGUGAGCCUUCGUUUGCAGUGAUUCCAACUACCAAAAAUCACAUACAUUCCCAAAUAAUUCUCCGUAAAAUUUUAUUGCAUUUGGACUUGGUUUGAUAUGGAUACACCAUGAUACAAAAAACAUGCAGAAAACAGGAACUAGCACUGGGCACUGGAUCAAUAGGUUAGUCCAAUAAAUCAUAUAAAAAGUUGCCAAAAGUAUGUAAAAGUUGUAUAAUAUUGGCAUGAAACAAUCAAAAAUUAUUGAUACGACGGAGACGUAUCAGCAUCCUCAAGCUUAAUUCUUGCUCGUCCUCGAGUAGGUAAAUGAUAAAAAAGAUAAUUUUUGAUGUGGAAUUCUACCUAGCAUAAACUUGAUCAUAUAUCUAAUCAUGGCAUAAAUAUUAAGACAUAAGUGAUUCAAACCAAUAGUCUAUAAUUUUACAUAAAGACAUCAAUACUCAGGCAUCCCAAAAAACAAUCAUGUCUUUCAAAAUAUCAAUGCUAAAGAAAGCUAUCCCUACAAAAUCAUAUAGUCUUGUCAUGCUCUGUCUUCAUAACACAAAGUAUUUAUCUUGCACAACCUCGAUCACAAGCCGAGCAAUUGGUUCAUACUUUUUAACGCGCUUCAACUUUUUCAACCCUCACGCAAUACAUGAGCGCAAGCCAUGGAUAUAGCACUAUGGGUGGAAUAGAGUAUGAUGAUAGGUGUAAAUAUAGAGAAGACAAAAAGUAAGAAAGUCUCACAUCAACACGACUAACCAGCGGGCUAUUGAGAUGCCCAUCAAUCGAUAUCAAUGCGACGAGUAGGGAUUGCCAUGCAACGAAUGCACUAAGAGCUAUAAGUGUAUGAAAGCUAAAUAUGAAAACUGAGUGGGGGUGCAUCUAUUCCUAUAAUGAAAAAUUCCCACUAGUAUAUGAAAGUGACAACAUAGUAGACUUUCCAUAGUAAACAAUGCCCCUUGUCUCUUUGUUUAUUUUUUAUUUUUCUUUUUUAUUUCUUUUUCUUUCUAUUCUUUUCUUUCUUUUUCUUUUCCUUUUUUUCUCUCAUUGUCCGGAGUCUCAUCCCGAUUUGUGGGGGAAUCAUAGUCUCCAUUAUCCUUUCCUCACUGUGGCACUACUCUAAAAUGAAUAAUGAUGAUCAUCACAUUUCUAUUUACUUAUAACUCAAAAGAAAUAAAAAUGACAACUCGAUACUUAUGACAAAGUAUGACUCUAUAUGAAUGCUUCUGGCAAUGUACCAGGAUGUGCAAUGAUCUAGCGUAACAUAUAUGAAAAGUGAUGAACGGUGGCUGAGCCACAACUACUAUGUCAGCUAUAUGAUCAUGCAAAGCAAUAUGACAAUGAAUGCUCAAGUCAUCAAACAGAAGCGGUGGAAGUUGCAUGGCAAUAUAUCUCGGAAUGGCCAUGGAAAAGCCAUAAUAGCUAGGUAUGGUGGUUGUUUUGAGGAAGAUAUAAUAAGGCUUAUGUGUGAUAGAGCGUAUCAUAUCACGGGGUUUGGAUGCACCUGCGAAGUUUGCACCACGUCUUGAUGUGAGAAAGGGCAAUGCAUGGUACUGUAGAGGCUAGCAAAUUGCGGAAAGUUAAGAGUGCGUAUAUUCCAUGGACUCACAUAUUUACCUAAUAAUAAAGAAAAUUGGGUUUCUGGUCGUCCGUCGUUGAUGUUUUUCGAAAAAGCCCCUUUGUUUCUUUGAAAUCAACCCGCAAUCCCUAUGUAAGUGACACUAUGGAAAAACGUUUCAUUUUUACAAACAAAACCCUGCAUUAGUUGGAAUUCAGCCCGCAGUCCUUAAUCCUUAUUUUAUACUAGCUCUUAUCCACUCACAACCUCCACCGAUGGGCACGCGCCACCGCUUGGCGCCGGCGUACACGCCGCAGAAGCCAAGGAAGGCUUUUGCCGCUUGCCGAAGGCGUCAGGAGGAAGUAUGGUGGUGGCAAGCACCAAGAGGAGGCGAGGAGGUGGCAGGGUUCUUGGUGGUCGCCGGUUUGGCGAGGGCCGGAGGGGUUGCCGACGCGGCCGAAGCAGAGGUACGUGGGCUGCGGUGCGAAGCGGGAAGGCGGGGCUGGUGCUGGAGCUUGAGGGCGCGAGCGCCAUGGCAUGCGUCAGGCGCAAUGGAGGGAAGUGGAGGUCGUAAUCACAAUCACCAAUGCGCACUGGAGAACAAUGUUUUUCAAUUUACAAACCAUCAGUGCAAAAUCUUCAGAUUUGUUUUAAACAAAGAGGAACAAAGAGAAUGAAUACCUUGGUGGAUAGAGUACUGGAUGGAUGCAGACUGUGUUGACACCGAGAAGGCCAGAUUGCCGCAGCCCCGCGCAAGCUUUGCCUCGAGGAGGCGUCCAUCUAGGUCCGGUCGGCGGCGGAUAGCGGUGACGAGGGGAGUCAGUGGGUACUUCUUCUUGGGGGAGAC
rnacentral:lncRNA from 1 species